GACGAACGCUGGCGGCGUGCCUAACACAUGCAAGUCGAACGGAAAGGCCCUGCUUUUGUGGGGUGCUCGAGUGGCGAACGCGUGAGUAACACGUGAGUAACCUGCCCUUGACUUUGGGAUAACUUCACGAAACUGGGGCUAAUAUCGGAUAGGAGCUCCUGCUGCAUGGUGGGGGUUGGAAAGUUUCGGCGGUUGGGGCUGGACUGGCGGCUUACCGGCUUGUUGGUGGGGUAGUGGCUUACCCAGGCUUUGACGGGUAGCCGGCCUGAGAGGGUGACCGGGGACAAUGGGCCUGAGAGACGGCCCAGAGGCCUACGGGAGGCAGCGGUGGGAAAUAUUGCACAAUGAGCGGAAGCCUGAGGCGGAGGCGCCGCGUGCGGGAUGACGGCCUUCGGGUUAUAAACCGCUUUCGCCUGUGACGAAGCGGGAGUGACGGUAAUGGGUAAAGAAGCACCGGCUAACUACGUG
rnacentral:rRNA from 1 species